rnacentral:lncRNA from 1 species
AUUGGAGGUUAUGCAGAGGCCUUUCGUUCACAUGAAAAGAAGCAGAGAAGUUUAAACGAAUUGAGGGAGAAGACGAUGGACAAGUGCACCUUGCACUUCAAAGCUUCUUGAUCCAAUACCACAAAUUGUUCACUUGUGUUCAAACUUUAAACGAAUUGAGGUAACUUAUUUCAUCGGACAGCCUAUGUUUUCCCUUUUCUACAAUUAAUUUUUUUUUUCACAGAUAUGAACGGAGAAGUUUCACAUGCACUUUUAAUCACCUUCUCACUGAAAAUCUCAUGAAGGUAUUGAAAUUAUGAUACCUCUGUACAACCAGAGGUUUCUUAAUUAUGUACAUGUCGAUUGCAUCGUUUUUAUAUGAUUGACAAAUUAUUAGAGGUCCUUGUCGAUUUGCUAUUUCACUUUUGUCAAAGUUGAUAACCUCGCUUCACUUUGGAGAAAACUUUGUUAUGCUGUAAACCACUAGAUGGAAUGGGUGUUGGAAGGUCAUAACACUAUGGUUCUCAUCCUGGAACUUUACAGCAUGAUCAACUCAUUGUUGCAACUGUGAAGUAGGCAGACCGUCCGUAUUGAUAUGCUUAAGUUCAGUUUAUUCUAGGAAAGAUGUGCUUCUUAGUGGGAUUUGCAAAUGUUACAGAGAAGUUAUAAAAUAAAACACGAAUUUCACUUGGGUAAUGGCAUCAAUAGUUGGUGCAGCAAAACUUCCAUCUAUGACCAGAGAGGAGAACCACCAAUGGCUCACUUCUCCAAGGUAUCAUAAAUCAUCUCGGACAUAUGAUAAGUCUCAUGUCAAUGGACUCUUGUGUGAUUUCAAUUAUUGCCUACAUUUUCUAGAAAUGGUUAUGCUUAGGUGAUUACCUGUCAUGGAAGCCCUUCCAUUCACCUCAAGCUAUACUAGAGGACUCUUUUAGGUUUUAAGAUUGACAAGAAGUGCUCAGGGAGACAUCUAGAACGACCAGCUUUUGGCUGGUUCCUAAUGUUGCUGAGAGGAAUUAGAGUUUGAAAAAUUUACAGAAGCCUUUCUGUGCAGGGAGUUGUAGCUAAUUGGACAGCUAUACAAAUGAAGACCAAAAAAAGGAAAAUGAAGAUGACAUUCAAAGUGAAGUUUUACGUCCACUUUAUAAUUACUUUGGGAGUUGAUGCCUGGAAAUCUGAAGAAGGUAUUGAAAUUAUGUACCUCUGUAGAACCAAAGGGUUCUUAAUUAUGUGCAAAUAUACUUUUUCUUUUCUUAGUUUGGUUUGGCUUUUUUAGCUAUAUUUUCUUUGGAUGGUUUCUCCUUGCUUUUAUGUUUCCCAGCUGGAGGUAUGCAUGUUGAUUGCAUUGUUAUUAUCUGAUUUAUGACAAUUCAAUGGAAAUCCUCAUCAGUUUGCUGCUUCACAUAUUUCGAAGUUAAUACCCUCUGCUUUGCAUUAGAGAUAACUUUUCUCUACUAUAAACAAUUAGAUGUGAUGUGUCUUGGAAGGUCAUAGCACUAUGGUUCUCAUCCUGGAAUUUCACAGCAUAAUCAACUCAUUGUUGCAACUAUGAAUGAGCCAGACUCUGUAUUGAUAUGCUUUUGUUCAGUUUAUUUAACAAGGAAGGCGUGCUUCUUAGAAGGAUUUGCAAAUGUUGUGGAGAAGUUAUAAAAUGAAGAAAGAGGAAUUUCACUUGGGUAGUGGCAUCAAUUGUUAGUGCAGCAAAGGUUCCAUCUGUGAUAGGAGAGCGGAACUAUUUAGCUUCUCCAAGGUAUUAUAAGUCAUCAUAAUGUUAGGCUAAAUUUCGGUAUUAUUAGUGCAUAUGAUGAGUCUCACUUGGGGUCUGAAAUCAUGUAAAUCGACCCUUGUGAGAUCUCCAUCACUGUCUCCAUUUUCUCGAAAUGGUUAUGCCUAGGUGGUUAUAUGUAAUAGAUGCCUUUCAUUCACCUCAAGUUAUAUUAGAUGACUUUUUUGGGUUUAAGGAUUGACAAGAAGUGCUAAGGGAGACAUCUCAAAUGACUGGCUUCUUGCCGGUUUCUAAUGUUGCUGAUAGAUAUUGAUGUUUAAGAAACUUACAAACAUUUUUAUUACGUUUUUGGGCAGUUGUAUAGAUGGAGACCGAAGAAAGG